UACGUAGGGUGCGAGCGUUACUCGGAAUUACUGGGCGCAAAGCGUGCGCAGGCGGUUUUGCAAGCCGGAUGUGAAAUCCCCGGGCUCAACCUGGGAAUGGCAUUCGGGACUGCAAGGCUGGAGUGCGGCAGAGGAGACUGGAAUUCCUGGUGUAGCAGUGAAAUGCGUAGAUAUCAGGAGGAAUACCGAUGGCGAAGGCAGGUCUCUGGGCUGACACUGACGCUCAUGCACGAAAGCGUGGGGAGCAAACAGG
rnacentral:rRNA from 1 species